GCCUGGGUGGCUCAGUCGGUUGAGCAUCUGACUUUGGCUCAGGUCAUGAUCUCAUGGUCUGUGAGUUCGAGCCCCGCAUCGGGCU
rnacentral:tRNA from 1 species